rnacentral:rRNA from 1 species
GAUGAACGCUGGCGGCGUGCCUAAUACAUGCAAGUCGAGCGAACGGACGAGAAGCUUGUUCCUCUGAUGUUAGCGGCGGACGGGUGAGUAACACGUGGAUAACCUACCUAUAAGACUGGGAUAACUUCGGGAAACCGGUGCUAAUACCGGAUAAUAUUUUGAACCGCAUGGUUCAAAAGUGAAAGACGCUUUUGCUGUCACUUAUAGAUGGAUCCGCGUUGCAUUAGCUAGUUGGUAAGGUAACGGCUUACCAAGGCAACGAUGCGUAGCCGACCUGAGAGGGUGAUCGGCCACACUGGAACUGAGACACGGUCCAGACUCCUACGGGAGGCAGCAGUAGGGAAUAUUCGGCAAUGGGCGAAAGCCUGACGGAGCAACGCCGCGUGAGUGAUGAAGGUCUUCGGAUCGUAAAACUCUGUUGUUGGGGAAGAACAUAUGUGGAAGUAACUGUGCACAUCUUGACGGUACCUAAACAGAAAGCCACGGCUAACUACGUG